rnacentral:rRNA from 1 species
UGCAAGUCUGGUGCCAGCAGCCGCGGUAAUUCCAGCUCCAAUAGCGUAUAUUAAAGUUGUUGCAGUUAAAAAGCUCGUAGUUGAACCUUGGGCUUGGUCGGCCGGUCCGCUUUUUUGCGAGUACUGGAUUCAACCGAGCCUUUCCUUCUGGCUAACUAGUCGUUCUUCGGCUAGCGAACCAGGAUUUUUACUUUGAGAAAAUUAGAGUGUUCAAAGCAGGCAUUAGCUUGAAUAUAUUAGCAUGGAAUAAUAGAAUAGGACGUUAUGGUUCUAUUUUGUUGGUUUCUAGGACCAUCGUAAUGAUUAAUAGGGACGGUCGGGGGCAUCAGUAUUCAGUUGUCAGAGGUGAAAUUCUUGGAUUUACUGAAGACUAACUACUGCGAAAGCAUUUGCCAAA